rnacentral:rRNA from 1 species
UACGUAGGGACCGAGCGUUGUCCGGAUUCAUUGGGCGUAAAGAGCUCGUAGGCGGCUGCUCAAGUCGAAUGUGAAAACCAGAGGCUCAACCUCUGGCCUGCAUCCGAUACUGCCCGACUAGAGGUAGGUAGGGGAGAUCGGAAUUCCUGGUGUAGCGGUGAAAUGCGCAGAUAUCAGGAGGAACACCGGUGGCGAAGGCGGAUCUCUGGGCCUUACCUGACGCUGAGGCGCGAAAGCUAGGGGAGCAAACAGG